GGGAAUUAGGGUUCGAUUCCGGAGAGGGAGCCUGAGAGAUAGCUACCACUUCUACGGAGGGCAGCAGGCGCGUAAAUUGCCCAAUGCCAAAUCGGCGAGGCAGCGAAGAAAAAUAGCGACCCCGCCUCUUCGGAGCGCGGGGAUUGCAAUGGGUGGUACGUAAACCCACCAACGAGUAUCAAUUGGAGGACAAGUCUGGUGCCAGCACCCGCGGUAAUUCCAGCUCCAAUAGCGUAUAUUAAUGUUGCUGCUGUUAAAGGGUUCGUAGUUGGACUCAGGGCGGGGAGAUUCGCGCACAAUCGUGCGCCUUCGCCCCCGCCCUGUCACAGACGGGGCCGCGUCCCGCCGCGAGCCUUCACUGGCGUCGCGGCACCCGCAAGGGAUCGAGUGCGACACACUCACCGGACCGCCCGUCGUUCUCACCGUGAAUAAAACAGCGUGUUCAAAGCAGCCGUUCGGCCGCAUGACAAAGCAUGGAAUGACAGAGCAUCGACCAGCUGGUUGUGCUUUUGUUGGUUUUCCUACCUAGUUGGGUAACUCGCGGCGCCGCCGCGCCUCCGGGCGCGCGGUGCUCGCACGGGAUUAACGGGGGUUGUCGGGGGAAAACGUAUUCGGGCGUGAGAGGUGAAAUUCUUAGACCGCCCGGGGACGAACUUAUGCGAAGGCAUUUUCCAAGUAUACCUUCAUCAAUCAAGAACUAAAGUGUGGAGAUCGAAGAUGAUUAGAUACCAUUGUAGUCCACCGCUGCAAACGAUGACGCCCAUGGAUCGGACAGCGUUCUACUCCGAUGGGAUCUUUUCGGCACUGCUCCCCUUCAACGCGAAAGCUGAGGCUAUGGUCUCAUGGGGAAGUACGUUCGCAAGGCUGAAACUUAAAGAAAUUGACGGAAUGGCACCACCAGACGUGGAGUGUGCGGUUUAAUUUGACUCAACACGGGAAACCUUACCAGGACAGGACAACGGAAGGAUUGACAGGCUGAUAGCCCUUUCUUGAUUCGUUUGACGGUGGUGCAUGGCCGCUUUUGGUCGGUGAAGUGAUUUGUUUGGUUGAUUCCUUUAACGGACGAGACCCAAUCCGCUUACUAGGGGCGCCAUCUCUGCGGGCCUCUCCGCUCCGGCGGGGCGGCCCGGAUAGCGACUCCUUCUUCGCGGCAUUCCAUGCGCCUUAGCAUGGUGGCAUUUUGGGCAACAGCAGGUCCA
rnacentral:rRNA from 1 species